rnacentral:rRNA from 1 species
UACGUAGGCAGCAAGCGUUGUUCGGAUUUACUGGGCGUAAAGGGUGUGUAGGCGGUUGUUUAAGUCUGGUGGGAAAUCUCCCGGCUCAACCGGGAGGGUGCGCCGAAUACUGAGGGACUAGAGUGCGGGAGAGGAAAGUGGAAUUCCUGGUGUAGCGGUGAAAUGCGUAGAUAUCAGGAGGAACACCGGUGGUGUAGACGGCUUUCUGGACCGUAACUGACGCUGAGACACGAAAGCGUGGGUAGCAAACAGG